rnacentral:rRNA from 1 species
CCUACGGGAGGCUGCAGUGGGGAAUAUUGGACAAUGGGGGCAACCCUGAUCCAGCCAUGCCGCGUGUGUGAAGAAGGCCCUCGGGUUGUAAAGCACUUUCAGUGAGGAAGAACGCCUGGUGGUUAAUACCCAUCAGGAAAGACAUCACUCACAGAAGAAGCACCGGCUAACUCCGUGCCAGCAGCCGCGGUAAUACGGAGGGUGCGAGCGUUAAUCGGAAUUACUGGGCGUAGAGCGCGCGUAGGUGGCUUGAUAAGCCGGUUGUGAAAGCCCCGGGCUCAACCUGGGAACGGCAUCCGGAACUGUCAAGCUAGAGUGCAGGAGAGGAAGGUAGAAUUCCCGGUGUAGCGGUGAAAUGCGUAGAGAUCGGGAGGAAUACCAGUGGCGAAGGCGGCCUUCUGGACUGACACUGACACUGAGGUGCGAAAGCGUGGGUAGCAAACAGGAUUAGAUACCCCAGUAGUC